GUUUGUAUCCUUAUGGUUGAAAUGCACGUAUUGUAAGUUGCUUUGGAUAAAAGCGUCAGCUAAAUGACAUGUAACGUAAUAUAAACCACUUGAUCUGCGGUGCAGAAGAGUUGGGGUUUAUAUUUAAUCUUUGCUUUCUCUACCAGGUCCGAUUUCGUUUCCCUGUUUUUUGUCCCAUCCAACUUCUUUUUGACCAUUUUUCCAAAUGUCCACAUGGCAGCUGUUAGCUUUGCGAGCACAAUGUUAUUACGCCGAGGAAUAACAUCCCUCUAGGGGACAAGUGAAGGCAUCACUAAAGGCAUUCAGGUUCCUUCUGAAGGGAACACGAAAGUCGGUGGACACCAAUCCAACAGUUGUUGAUCUCCGCGUGGACCAAAGUCGUGGAGCGACCAACAAAACGACGUGGCCGUUCUACAAACCUUCACCGUUGUUCCUUGCUGUCGGUUGCCACUAAAGCAUUGAACGCAUUAUGAUCUGUUAGACGCAGAGAUGUAGCUUAAUGGUGUUCGGUUCUACUCAGUCCACGAAUGGCUGCAAACGGGCGAACGAUAGUGUCGCAGCGGUCGAAGACUAGAAGAUCGCCGUGCGAGCACAUUUACCUUUUUACUCUUUACUCACAUGCGCAAACGCACGAAAGAAAUGGAACCACUGGCAGCUGAACGAGUGCGAAUGGCUGAAUGGAUGAUGCGCUUUGGGGAAAGACCAAAGCCGCCAUCGCCACAGGAUGAGCAGAGGUGGCGGCGGUGAGCUGAACAAUUGGUCUGGCUCGCGUGCACGCACACCGGAUCAAACGCAUCAAAUGUUCUGCUUUGGUCAUGGUGGCAGCUGACGGUGGUCUAGGUUCUUGUCAGUGAGUGUGUGCGGUUUGUAACAGCUGCAGGAGGAAUGGCUGGCAUCCACUCCGAGCAUUUCCGAGGGGCCAAACACUUUCCCCGCCGCGGACCACACAAACCCCGCGGGGUUAUUUCAACCGCACCCCGCAUUCGUGUUUCACGCGAGUCCUCUUCCUCCCGCUGGCCACAGAUUCUGGCUCACGUGGUCCUCACUCGGCCUGGAGCUGUGACGGGUUUGGACCACAUCAGGGUGUAAGACACUUUUAUGGUCCCCGUCUGACAUGUGGUGUCCUAAGCAGCUUAGUGGGUAAAAUGGAUAGAUUGUAGGUAUAGAUUUCUGAUAUUUUAGACCUGAUAAUAAUACUGAUAUUGGGAAGUGGGGGGAAAAAACAACAAACAAUGUUGGUGCUAUUACAUCUGCUGCAGGAGGAGCCUGGUCCGUCUGACUAGGAGCACUGGAGGUGUGAGUGGUGACACUGGAAUGUUUGACGUGUUGCCUGUCAGGAAAAGACGAGUCUCUCACUGUAGGACCUUUAUCUGGACCCUGUUGGGACCUGGAAGCCCUCUGAGUGGAUUGGACCGGGUGUUCACAUGUGAUGAUCAUAUCGUCUGCUCAUCUUCCAGCUAACAAAGAUCUCUACUCUAAUUCCUUCUCCUGUACCCACUUUCUUAUUUGUAUGUUAAGUUGUUUAAAGCGUGUGAAGUUUAAAGUUUCCUCAGUAGAUCGACAGCUUUCCCAGAUGCUGAAAUGAU